UACGAAGGUGGCAAGCGUUACUCGGAAUUACUAGGCGUAAAGCGCAGGUAGGCGGUUCGAUAAGUCUUUUGUGAAAGCUCCCGGCUUAACUGGGAGAGGCCAAGGGAAACUGUCGGACUAGAGUGUGGUAGAGGGUGCUGGAAUUCCCGGUGUAGCGGUGAAAUGCGUAGAGAUCGGGAGGAAUACCUAUGGCGAAAGCAGGCACCUGGGCCAUCACUGACGCUGAGCUGCGAAAGCGUGGGGAGCAAACAGG
rnacentral:rRNA from 1 species